rnacentral:lncRNA from 1 species
CCAAGGUCUGACUCGCCUGUUGUUUUUCCCCCCUCCUCUUGAACCAUGCUUACAAAGAAAAAGAGCAACCCUUCCCCACGUAGUACCAGCAGGGUAACCUGAGAACAUCCAUUUAGCGCGUCUGUCCCUGUGAAAAGGACCUUUCAGUGACACCAAGCUGAGUGUAUCCCGCUCUAUUUAUAGGCACUGUUUGUUUAAUUCGAGUCCCGUCUCUAAGAAUAAAUAAUGAACUCAUUCUGGGGGCCAGCCAGAGCCUACAACUCUGUGACGAACCUGUAAAUCCCUUUCUCUUUCCUUCUGGUUCUGAAAGGGGUUCUCUAACUCAGAGACACAAAGAGACCCAUUUGGACUCAGAUCCCUCAGUAAGGAAGAUGUGGCCGUGGAGAAAGAGGACCCCUUUCCAUACCCUCCCGACCUGGUAGCAGGGCCUGGGGCCAGACUGUCUCACAAGGUACAGUACCAUCACUGGGUGUGUUUUUUUUUUUUUUUUUUUUCAGGGUGUGUGAUGAGAACCAAGAGCCAUAAUGCACUUGAACUUGAAGUAUGUAACCCCUGAAGGUGGUAUAGGUCAGUCCAAUAGAGCGUCUCAAGAAAAAAUAGUUUGGUUUGCAGUCCCCCUGUCCCCAUGCUGACCUGCUGGUUUAGCAACUCCUAGAACCAGACCCACUGAGUUUGAAGGGAAUGACCUCAAUGGUAUCUUUGGGUCUAAUGCAGGACAUUGACACCUAAAUAUUCAAUGUCUAGUAACAUCACAGAAUAACAUCCUGCCUUUCCAGGACUUUAUCUUAAGAAGAUAACCAAGCUUCUCAGGGAAGUGUCCAUUCAUGUGCUUCUUCUCCCAGUAUCUGUUGAUUCACUUCUCCAUGCCAGAUGCUAUUCUAGGCACAGGAGAUGCCUUGAUGAGGAAGACAAGGUAGUCAUGAGAUGACAAGGUGUGAUUUACUCUGAAAAAAUUUGGCAUCUGCUCCCUUCCAACUGAGUCAGUCUGACUGUGAGAUGUCUUCCCAGCAGGCCUGAGCUCCAUUCAUUUGUCCAUUCCUCCAUUCAGAAAGACAUGGGAGGCAUGGUCUACAUGUUAGGCACAGCUAGAAUGCCUAGGUAUCAUAGUGAGCUCGAGAUCUCUCCCUGGCCUUAAGAUGUUUGGAGUCCAGUGGGGAAGAUGUAUAUUAAUCAGAUUAUUACUGAAAUAUGG